GACGAACGCUGGCGGCGUGCUUAACACAUGCAAGUCGAACGAAGAGCGAUGGAAGCUUGCUUCUAUCAAUCUUAGUGGCGAACGGGUGAGUAACGCGUAAUCAACCUGCCCUUCAGAGGGGGACAACAGUUGGAAACGACUGCUAAUACCGCAUACGAUCUAAUCUCGGCAUCGAGGAUAGAUGAAAGGUGGCCUCUACAUGUAAGCUAUCACUGAAGGAGGGGAUUGCGUCUGAUUAGCUAGUUGGAGGGGUAACGGCCCACCAAGGCGAUGAUCAGUAGCCGGUCUGAGAGGAUGAACGGCCACAUUGGGACUGAGACACGGCCCAGACUCCUACGGGAGGCAGCAGUGGGGAAUCUUCCGCAAUGGACGAAGGUCUGACGGAGCAACGCCGCGUGAGUGAUGACGGCCUUCGGGUUGUAAAGCUCUGUUAAUCGGGACGAAAGGCCUUCUUGCGAAUAGUGAGAAGGAUUGACG
rnacentral:rRNA from 1 species